GACGAACGCUGGCGGCGUGCUUAACACAUGCAAGUCGAACGGCAAGGCCCUGCUUUUGUGGGGUGCUCGAGUGCCGAACGCGUGAGUAACACGUGAGUAACCUGCCCUUGACUUUGGGAUAACUUCAGGAAACUGGGGCUAAUACCGGAUAGGAGCUCCUGCUGCAUUGUGGGGGUUGGAAAGUUUCGGCGGGUGGGGAUGGACUCGCGGCUUAUCAGCUUGUUGGUGGGGUAGUGGCUUACCAAGGCUUUGACGGGUAGCCGGCCUGAGAGGGUGACCGGCCACAUUGGGACUGAGAUACGGCCCAGACUCCUACGGGAGGCAGCAGUGGGGAAUAUUGCACAAUGGGAGGAAGCCUGAUGCAGAAACGCCGCGUGCGGGAUGACGGCCUUCGGGUUGUAAAACGCUUUCGCCUGUGACGAAGCGUGAGUGACGGUAAUGGGUAAAGAAGCACCGGCUAACUACGUG
rnacentral:rRNA from 1 species